CCUGACAGGGUUACUCUGAGUGAUUUCCGCUAAGGGAAUCUUUUGGCACCUCUAAAAAUGGUGCAGAAUAAGGGGGGGGCAAGUCUGGUGUCAGCCGCCGCGGUA
rnacentral:rRNA from 1 species